rnacentral:rRNA from 1 species
UACGUAGGGUGCGAGCGUUGUCCGGAAUCAUUGGGCGUAAAGCGCGCGUAGGCGGCCAGAUAAGUCCGGUGUGAAAGCCACAGGCUCAACCUGUGAAUGCCGCUGGAAACUGUCUGGCUAGAGUCCGGGAGGGGCGAGUGGAAUUCCUGGUGUAGCGGUGAAAUGCGCAGAUAUCAGGAGGAACACCAAUGGCGAAGGCAGCUCGCUGGAACGGAACUGACGCUGAGGCGCGAAAGCGUGGGGAGCGAACAGG